CAAACGUUGAUGACUUGACAGUUUAGAAUGCCCCUGCUUUCUCUAUCUCCAGAUGCUCAAAGAAGCCAAAGUGUGGGAGAUUCAAAUUUGUCUGCUGGAGUUCCUGACAGCAUGAUGAAGGAUCUCUUGUAGACUAUAUUUGGUCUGUGUUUCAGGAAUACAAUGACUAGUGAGCAAGAGUAAUCUUCUUAGGAUUCCCAGAGCUACAAGAGGAGAAACAAGAAGAACUCCAGUUUAGAUUCUUUCUGCAUAAUGCCUGGCUGAUGCGGAUUGCCUUGAAUCUGUAGAUUGCUUUUGGUAGCAGGCUGGCCAUUUGUAUUAUGUUAAUUCUACCAAUCCAUGAACAU